rnacentral:rRNA from 1 species
CCAAUAGCGUAUAUUAAAGUUGUUACAGUUAAAAAGCUCGUAGUUGAAUUUUGGGAUCAAUGGGUUGGUCAUGCCCUCGGUAUGUACUGAUUUCAUUGGUUCUCACCUUCUAAGGAACCAUGAUGUCAUUCGUUUGAUGUUGUGGGGAAUUAGGACUGUUACCUUGAAAAAAUUAGAGUGUUUAAAGCAGGCUAACGUUUGAAUACAUUAGCAUGGAAUAAUGAAAUAGGACAUCCGAUUCUAUUUUGUUGGUUUUUAGGAUCGAUGUAAUGAUUAAUAGGGAUAGUUGGAGGCAUUAGUAUUCAAUUGUCAGAGGUGAAAUUCUUGGAUUUAUUGAAGACUAACUACUGCGAAAGCAUUUGCCAAGGAUGUUUUCAUUAAUCAAGAACGAAAGUUAGAGGAUCGAAGACGAUCAGAUACCGUCGUAGUCUUAACCAUAAACUAUGCCGACUAGGGAUCGGAUGAUGCUUAUUUUUUAAUGACUCAUUCGACACCUUACG